AUUGAACGCUGGCGGCAGGCUUAACACAUGCAAGUCGAGCGGGGGAAGGUAGCUUGCUACCGGACCUAGCGGCGGACGGGUGAGUAAUGCUUAGGAAUCUGCCUAUUAGUGGGGGACAACAUCUCGAAAGGGAUGCUAAUACCGCAUACGUCCUACGGGAGAAAGCAGGGCAUCUUCGGACCUUGCGCCAAUAGAUGAGCCUAAGUCGGAUUAGCUAGUUAGUGGGGUAAAGGCCUACCAAGGCGACGAUCUGUAGCGGGUCUGAGAGGAUGAUCCGCCACACUGGGACUGAGACACGGCCCAGACUCCUACGGGAGGCAGCAGUGGGGAAUAUUGGACAAUGGGGGGAACCCUGAUCCAGCCAUGCCGCGUGUGUGAAGAAGGCCUUAUGGUUGUAAAGCACUUUAAGCGAGGAGGAGGCUACUUUAGUUAAUACCUAGAGAUAGUGGACGUUACUCGCAGAAUAAGCACCGGCUAACUCUGUGCCAGCCGCCGCCGUAA
rnacentral:rRNA from 1 species